rnacentral:lncRNA from 1 species
GAAGCUUCUUGCUGAAGUGUUGAUGAUCUCUUCUUUAGCUUGGCUCUAGUUCUUCUGAAUAACGCUUCGGGAUUGUCAACAAAAUUUCCUAGAAGAUGUCUUCUAUUCAUACAUUCCCCUGCAUAAGAUAAAAUAGAAAAAUAUCGGGGUAAAACUGUAUGAGAGAAUAGAUAAGCUCAAUCAUAUUAGUGAUGCGAAUGAUAACUCAAAAUCCUUUAUUCUAUUCCUGAUUAGUAAUCA